rnacentral:lncRNA from 1 species
CUCGUCUACACCCGGGGGCGCCCUGUGCGAACCCCCCACCCCUCGUCUACACCCGGGGGCGCCCUGUGCGAACCCCCCACCCCUCGUCUACACCAGGGGGCGCCCUGUGCGAACCCCCCACUCGUCUACACCCGGGGGCGCCCUGUGCGAAUCCCCCCCUCGUCUACACCCGGGGGCGCCCUGUGCCGCCCCGGCAAGUUGCCGCCAGCGGCGGCUGCCCAUGUCGCCCGUACCUAAAUCCACAAAAUAAAUCUCUUUUCCAAAAUUCGUCAUCUCUCUCAUGUCUUAUUCGACUAGUAUUUUUGAAAGUGUAAGGAUAAUAAUUCAUAGUUGUUCUGAAAUGUUUAUUGCUUGCCAACAUUUUACUCCCUCCUCUGUUUAAUAUAACACACAUACAUUUAAUUAUUAAUUUCGGUUACCUAUCCUGACAUGAAGUUUGUUCUAUAGAAUGUAUUUGACUGUGUGCCACAGAAGGUAUUUGACUCUAGCCACAAAACUAUGGAAAUUAGAAGGGGGGGAGGGAGAAUUCAGUCAGGGGGGAGAUCUUCGGCACAACACCGGCCCCGGAAGAGGACCGCUUCUGGGCCGAUUCCUCAUUGGUGGCUGGGAUACCUCAUCGUUGAGAUAGUUCAACUGCUACGUAGAUACAUGGAUAGCAUGAGAAAAAACAACCACCUUUAUAAUACAUCCCAUUCGCGUUGUGAACGGUCAUCCAACACGGAAUUCCAACAGGGGAAAUCUGGCCUCUUUCUGGAGCGCCGACUUCCUGACACUGAAGGUCACUGACCUCAUGAUUCGACCUCGUUUUUCUCGAGUUCCCAGUUGUCUUGAAAGCGCCAUAAUGCUGCACAAAUGAUGGACAUGACAGGCCACUUUGACACUGACAACCUGAGAUGAAGGAAAACGACCGUGUCUGGAAUCAGUAAAUAUCCCAGGUGUGUGGAGACACAGUGUAGGCUACAAUACGAGGAGGAAAUGAUAGUCCUAAAAAUGCUUUCCAGUUUCACUGACUCACCCAAUGAUGUGCUGCUCACUCUCUGGUGAUGGCAUAUGCGCUAAUACUAACAGCCUGUCUCUCACUCACUACUUCUUUCUCUCGUUUUACUUUGUAAAACACUAUUUGCAAGUUGAUGAAAUAUCUUGGUAGCCUACAUUUUACAGAUUAGUCUUCUCUUUUCAGCAGGAGCCAUUUGCUUUCCAACCUGUGUUUUCCCGCGACUGUAGACUUUGUAAUAUUGCAAAAGGUUUUGUCUGCAUUCUUUGUUCUCUGACAGAUUUGUUGCGUGUUCCUGACUGGAGGCUAUGCCUUGUUCUUGGUCUACACCCCACACCUAGCCAACGUUUUAGGCUUUCUAAUGAUGUCGUAAACUAUUCGGAAUCAUUUCAUUUAUUUCUGAACAGACAGCAGUAAUUCUAUAACUUUGUCAAAUGUAUUUGAAUUUAUCAGGCGUGCUGCAGCUCCUCCAGAAGCCAUCGCGCGGCUCUAUAAGGACUGGGAAGCGAAGCGACAAGGUAUUUCUAUACCUCCCGUCGGGCGGAGGUGGUGAUUUAUAGACAGCGUCGCUGGGGAAACCAACCACAUUUCAUUUAGAUCACGUCAGCCUGCUCGGCGGCGGAAUCCUCCCUGGUUGGCUGUUUAGACGCUGGGAGGCCCUGGGAGGCCCUGGGAGGCCCUGGUAAUGGGAAAACGUCUGCAUCGAUAUAUCUCCCCCGCGAGGCCAUUCGACCCCCCCCCCCUCCAUUCGAAGCAGACGCUCCUACAAAUGCAUCACCCUCCUGAGAUAAGUUUGCGACGCAUGCAGAUACAUCAUUUUUACCGGACUGGAAUCCAUUACUGGGAGAGGUAGAGAGUAGGCUAAGCAAGACCAGGGCCGGGGGUGGUAGAACGGCCUGGUGGGGCACUGUAAACACACACACACACACACACAGCUUACCUGGUCUCUCAGUCGUACAGGUAUCAUAAACAUCGUUAUAAAACAGCCAUCAGGCCAUCAUAGGGGUCAUUUCUGUUCCUUAAGGAUCACAAUGGAACUGUCAAAGGCAGUGGUGGAAAAAGUACCCAAUACACACACACACACACACCAGUGGUGGAAAAAGUACCCAAUACACACACACACACACCAGUGGUGGAAAAAGUACCCAAUACACACACACACACACACACACACCAGUGGUGGAAAAAGUACCCAAUACACACACACACCAGUGGUGGAAAAAGUACCCAAUACACACACACACACCAGUGGUGGAAAAAGUACCCAAU